rnacentral:sRNA from 12 species
ACUGUGGAGUAUACGUGAACUUGUGAGUAGUAUAUUUAAUUUUGUGUUGAAUUAUGAAAGCAUAUACGUUGAAGCAGUAA